rnacentral:lncRNA from 1 species
UUUUUUUUUUCCUUCCUUAAUUGUUACAAAGCUCAGAGCCAAACUGAACUCUCAAACACAGCAACUUCAUUAACAAUCAUCAAAUUCCCAGCUUCCUUUCCCUGGUACAGUUUUAUAGACCUUACAGAAAAUUUGUCUUUCUAUAAGUUGCUUCACACACCAGCCUAAUCUCCUUAAAGGGAGCCCCUCUGUAUCCUUGGCUAUUAUUCUCCACGGACAUGUGACCGUGUACACUGAAAAGUCUGUUUUAUCACUGAGAAGCAGUACGCUGUCAAGGCAGAAAUAUUACAAGCAGCUAAUCAGUCUAAAUCCAAAUAACAUGUAUGUAUGCAAAAGACACAUUGUUUGCAUGGAAUUUGUUCUGAAAUGAUUUAACUUUAAUAUUAUUUAGCCAUUUAAAAUAUGAAUUUUUUUAUACCAUUUGACUAAAUUUACCAUAGUCCUCUGUAGCUCAUAAUAGUUCACAAUGCUAAAACUAUAGAUCUGCAUCAGAAUGUACUUAAAUGCUCAUUGAUAUCAAUUCAUUGAUAAGAUAUGAUCAUAAUUUACAAGCGUACUGCCGUGCACUGGUCCAUUUCAUCCGAGAACCAUAGUGUGGUAUCUAAUUUAGGAGUUUUGGAGUCACUCUCUGUUUCUCCCUGGGCAAACUACUUAAAUUUGCUUUAUUUCUCCUUAAUUCAGUUUUAGCAUUUGUGAGAUGGCCUUUGGCAUAAGAUUAGCCUAUAGUUACAUCCUGGCUACAGCAUUAAUAGUAACUGGGAGACUUAAGAUGUGCAGUAGUCUUAAAGCAUGUCCCUCAAAUUCUUUAACUUUGUUUUUAACAAACAGUGAAGAUCUGUGUCUCUCUCCUUGAAUCCGAGCUCCUUGACUGCCUGUCAAAUAGAACAGGUGAAAGUGGUGCUGUGCACCUGUCUGGCUCAGGCUAUAUUUAACUGGUAGUCUCCAUUUUUCUGUCUUUGGGAUAUUCUCUCAUGGAAUCAAGCUACCAUGCGCUGAUGAAGCUGAGCAAGCCCUUGGAAAGGCCCACGUGGAGAGAAACAUGGCAUAUGUCCUUGGCCAUGUGAGUGUGCCAUGUUCAAAGAAAAUCCUCCAAGUUCCAGGUGAAGCAUCUCCUCUGAGGUCUCAAUGAGACAAGCUGUCUCUAACCUAUUCAUGAUCAAAUAAAUGACUGGUGUCAUCUUAAGACAUUAGGCUUUAAUAUAGUUGGUUACACAACCACAGGUGACUAGAAAGGUAGAAUAGGAUCUUUCUCAUUGUGUAGAAAAAGCUACCAUGAGGAAGUUGGCCAAUAUCAGAAGAAUUUUUCAAAUUUCAAAUUGUUUAAACUUCACCCAGUUCAAAAAUUUAUUCUAAACAGCUUUCCUUUUAGGUUUCAUUAGUAAAUUAUAACAGUUAUUGUUUAUUGAAUAACCUUGUACUAUGCAUUGAAUGGGCAUGUUAUAGAGUUUCUAAUUUGAUUUCAUAAUAAUUCUUAUAAUUAUUCAUAACAAUUAUUAUAUUAUUAUCAUAUGCUUUUAAUGAUGAGGAAACUUAGGUUUAGGGAACCUCACUUUGCUGUAAACCUGAAACUAAUACAACAUUAAAGUCAACUAUACUACAAUAAAAUUAAAAAAAAAAAAGAGAGAGAGAGAGAGAAGUUCCCACUGUGGCUCAGUGGGUUAAGGACCUGACAUAGUAUACGUGAAGAUGCGGGUUUUGUCCAUGGCCUCUCUCAGUGGGUUAAGGAUCCGGCAUUGGCACAAGCUGCUGUGUAGGUUGCAGAUGCAGCUUGGAUCUGGUGCUGCUGUGGCUAUGGUAUAGGCCAGGAGCUGCAGCUCAGAUUUGACCUCUAGCUCAGGAACAUCCAUAUGCCACCAAUGCAGCCCUAAAAAUAAAUAGGAAUAACCAAGAAAAAAAAAAAAGUAUGAUCUGAAUAUGAGCACUUGAUGGGCUGAUGCUAAAGUCAGUAUUUUCCCCAUUUCAUGCUAACAUUUCAUGCAUGCCAUUCGAUAAAGAGUACAUUUUCAAAUCACUAUGAUGGAAGAUAUUGAAUUGGCCCAGAAAAAAAGAUUUUAAUAAGACUUUAUUUGAUGAAGUUAGUUAGGUAGUGGAGCAGAAAGUGACUUUUAGUCCUAGGCAAGAGUAGAGGCAAAGGUCUGAAGCACGAUGAACCUUUGCUAGGGAUGUGCAUAUAUUUUGGUAUUGCUGGGGUUUUGAGUUUGGGGCAGGGAUUGGUUGAACAAAAAGAAAAGAUUUGAAUGGUAAGAUAAGGAUGGCUUAGAGAGCCAUGUGUGCCUUUUGGAGGAGACUGGACUCAUCCUUGAUUGCGAGAGAACCACUGAGAUUUCUGAAGCAGAGAAGCAGUGUGGUAAAAUCUCACAUCCAACUUCAUAGGAAUCUCUAUUGAUGUCUAGUAUGGUACAUCAAAGUCCAACAUUAAAUGUGAUUCUCUGGAGAUUCUGAUUAUUCAUAUUUCUAAUACUGAGGUUUUCACCUAAUGGGUCUUGAACCCUUUGGGGAUCAUGAAUUUACUGCAAGAGGUCUAAGAAUUCUUAUGUCUAUAAAUUUCAUUCUACACAAGUUAUAACACUUUCCACAUUGAAAGUUCUUUAUACUAGUGAAGAUGUUAAACAUGGUAGCUUUGUAUCAUCUGUGCUUUGGGGAAUCAAGAGAAAACUAGAUUUAUGCCACAGGGUUAGAUGAACAGGAGGGAGAAUUACAGUGACAAAAAAGUCUCCAUCAGCCAAACGUAACUGAUGAAAAAAGCCAGGAGCAGGGAUCUGCAGAAAAAGAUGGAAAGCUGCAAUAGAUAGGAGUAUGUGGGUAAAAAUGCAUAGUUCUUAAGAUUCUCAGAAACUACAUGAGGAGUGGAAUGGACUUUAUCAGAUGACAGGGAAUACUUUGGGACAAUUAAGAAAAGGCUAUAUGAUAAGCAGGAGGCUCUGAACUCUUUCGAAUGACCUUUAUUUAUUUUUUCAUACACUCCUCCUCUCUUCCAACUGCGAACUCCUCAAUGGUAACAAGUCCAACUGCUGUUUCUCUGUACAGGUGGUCCCAUUUCUAUUGAAGGGUGCAGCACACAAUGGUCUUGUGGAAAUAGAAAUAAUCUUUUAGAGAGUUACGAUUGCAGUUCAGCGGUAACGAACCCAGCUAGCAUCAAUGAGGAUGUGGAUUUGAUCCCUGGCUUGCUCGGUGGGCUGAGGAUCCACUGUUGCUGUGAGCUGUGGUGUAGGCUGCAGACGCAGGUCAGAUCCUGCAUCGCUGUGACUGCGACAUAGGCUGGCAGCUGUACCUCGGAUUCAACCUCUAGCCUGGGAAUUUCCAUAUGCCACAGGUGUGGCCCU